UACGUAGGGCGCAAGCGUUAUCCGGAAUUAUUGGGCGUAAAGAGCUCGUAGGCGGUUUGUCGCGUCUGCCGUGAAAGUCCGGGGCUCAACUCCGGGAUCUGCGGUGGGUACGGGAGACUAGAGUGAUGUAGGGGGAGACUGGAAUUCCUGGUGUAGCGGGUGAAAAUGCGCAGAUAUCAGGAGGAACACCGAUGCGAAGGCAGGGUCUCUGGGCAUUAACUACGUGAGGAGCGAAAAGCAU
rnacentral:rRNA from 1 species